AGGGGGAAGCUACAAGCCAGCAGGAACUGCUAAUUCCCGCAUCCGGGCCUAAAGCCCCCGGCCCCCUU
rnacentral:tRNA from 1 species